rnacentral:rRNA from 1 species
GACGAACGCUGGCGGCGUGCCUAAUACAUGCAAGUUGAGCGCUGAAGGUUGGUACUUGUACCAACUGGAUGAGCAGCGAACGGGUGAGUAACGCGUGGGGAAUCUGCCUUUGAGCGGGGGACAACAUUUGGAAACGAAUGCUAAUACCGCAUAAAAACUUUAAACACAAGUUUUAAGUUUGAAAGAUGCAAUUGCAUCACUCAAAGAUGAUCCCGCGUUGUAUUAGCUAGUUGGUGAGGUAAAGGCUCACCAAGGCGAUGAUACAUAGCCGACCUGAGAGGGGUAUCGGCCACAUUGGGACUGAGACACGGCCCAAACUCCUACGGGAGGCAGCAGUAGGGAAUCUUCGGCAAUGGACGAAAGUCUGACCGAGCAACGCCGCGUGAGUGAAGAAGGGUUUCGGAUCGUAAAACUCUGUUGGUAGAGAAGAACGUUGGUGAGAGUGGAAAGCUCAUCAAGUGACGGUAACUACCCAGAAAGGGACGGCUAACUACGUG